CAGACCUGAGGUCUGAAGCCUCAAUUUUGUUUUCCUGGUGCUUGGGUUGAUGUCAGGAUGAUUUAUAAACACUCAUCCCACUAUACCAUCGAACGGCAGCUUCUGAACGGCUGGCCUAGACUCAAAAGUGAAGACGGCCUAGUGCAGAACCAGCUUGAGUCCCAUGUUUGCCCAGCCUGGCGCACGAGCUGUCAUUUGUGCUGUUUCUCUUUGUGUGCACACAGCUGGAAGUCUUCUCUUACCUGCUAUCCUGUGUUCCUUCACUCCCUGGGUUCCUGUUCAGGCGCCAAUUGCCACGUCCCAUGCGGCCCCUGAUGUUCCCACGGUGAGGAGGCCUGGAGCCCAGCAUGCCAGCUCCUGCUCAGCCCCAACCCUCAGCCCUUGUUUCGGGACCGGAGCAACCAGCCAGCCUCAAGCCUUGUCCAGCUGUCCCUGUCCUCACCCCUGGGACCUGUCAGCGUGUUAGGCUCUGUGGCACUGAGGUUCUUCCAGCGUGGUCAGGCCUAGUGUGACCACAGGGUUCUCCGACACGGAGGAGGAGGCGGCAGCGCGGAGGUCAGAGUGAUGCAACAGCCAGAGAACUUGCCACGCUCCUACCGGCUUUGAAGGGGGACAGCUGCCUGCACAGGAGAGGGGGUCUUGAUCCCCCAAGAGCUUCCAGAAGGAGCACAGUCCUGACGCCUUGAUUUAGCCUCUCUGAGACUUGCACUAGACUUAUCUACAGAGCUGUGUGACAAUAUGUUUGUGAGUUUUUAAAUUUUUCUUUUGGUUUGUGAGACAGGUGCUUGCUAUGCAGUUUAGGCUGGCCUUACACUCACUGUGUAGCCCAGGCUGGCUCAAUCCUGUGGCAAUCCUCCUGCCUCAGCUUUCCGAGUUCUCAGAUUACCGGCACCCUCCACCAUGCAUUGCAAUCUGUGUUACUUCAAGCCAUUUAAUGUGCAGUAAUCUGUUACAGCAGCCAAAAGAAACUAGCAGAGAUAAUUGAUAUCUUCAUAAUAUUGAACUUUCCAAUCUGUGAGCAUGGUAUGACUCUGCAUUUAUAUAGAUGCUCUUUAAUUCCUCUCAGUAGUAUUUUAUAGCUUUCAGUCUAGCAGGCUUGCCCAUCUUUCAUUAAAAUUAUUCCUCCGUAUCUUACAUUUCUUGAUGCAUAGCAGAUCUGUUAUUUGAAGCAGAAACCUCCCAAACCAGAAGAAAUUAGAAGGCAGUGUUCACAAUCCUGGCACAUGGCUGGAGUGGACUCUGUGCUGGAAUGAGGAAGCCCCAGCACCACCGUCUUGGAGGCCCUGCACCGUGCUCUGGGGGCUCUUCCCGGUUCUGUCUAUGAGGAACCAAGAAAGACCUCUGGGGACCUGGAGGAGGAGGGGACCCCGCAGACUUUGCUGGUCAGAGAAGGCCGUGCUUCCCCCAAAGUGCUCCAGAAAACUUGGUGGAAAAGUUGCAGCCAGGGAAAGGAGAAGGAAGCAUCAGGG
rnacentral:lncRNA from 1 species